rnacentral:rRNA from 1 species
GGAGAGUUUGAUCCUGGCUCAGGAUGAACGCUAGCGGCAGGCCUAACACAUGCAAGUCGAACGGUAGUCAGCAGCAAUGUUGACGAGAGUGGCGCACGGGUGCGUAACGCGUAUGUAACCUGCCCCAUACUGGGGGAUAGCCUCCCGAAAGGGAGAUUAAUACCCCAUGGUAAUACUGAGUUGCAUGACUUGGUAUUUAAAGCUGAGGCGGUAUGGGAUGGGCAUGCGUCCGAUUAGGUAGUUGGUAGGGUAAAGGCCUACCAAGCCUACGAUCGGUAGGGGAACUGAGAGGUUGGUCCCCCACACUGGUACUGAGACACGGACCAGACUCCUACGGGAGGCAGCAGUGAGGAAUAUUGGGCAAUGGCCGCAAGGCUGACCCAGCCAUGCCGCGUGCAGGAAGAAUGCCCUAUGGGUUGUAAACUGCUUUUCUCAGGGGGUAAACCCUCUUACGUGAUAGGAGGCUGAAAGUACCUGAGGAAUAAGCAUCGGCUAACUCCGUGCCAGCAGCCGCGG